GGCUAGUUAGUAUAGUAGUAUUAUCCUAGGUUAUUAUCGGCUUAUAUAAGUAGUUAAUUCGCACUCUUCUAUUUUUACGACCGCGUACUAGGGGUUAUAGGUUCGAUUCCUAUACUAGCCG
rnacentral:tRNA from 1 species